rnacentral:lncRNA from 1 species
AAUAUUAGUUUGAUUAAUUAAUUGUUAUGCGACUUUCUUAGCCUACCCUUAACCCGAUCCCUUGGCGAAAAGAGCCUAAUAUUAACUACUGGCUUGCUAUCCCUAGCCUCCCCUAGCAAUUAAUACCGCAUUAUAAACAGAAAUUAACGCAAUUGAUCGUCCUACCCCUAUCCCUAGGUGGUAUUGCAAAAUCUAGAAAUUACUCACCAGUUCAUGUCAUUACUGUACGCCUCCAUAUCAAUAAAGACAAACAUCAGUUACCGAAUGAGUUAAACGAUAAAGGCCUUAAGCACAGAUGAGAACCCAACAAUUAUCAAUCAAAACAUAUGGAGACCAUAUAAAUAAUCAAGAGUUUCAAUAAAAGAGAGUAUCAAAAGAUUACAUUGUU